UCGUGCUAGGUGGGGAGUUAGCGGUGCCCUGUCGCCCGAAAUCCGCUUAGCGGGGCUGAAUCCCCCAUUGAAGGGCUUGCGUUGGACAGGCCGUUUCUAAUUCGUGUGCUGAUUGGACACCGCGCAACAGGCGGCUACGAACCCCGUCAGGUCCGGAAGGAAGCAGCGGUAAGUAUCACCGGCUGUGUCACGGUUCACUCUAAUCGGGUGCUCGAAGGUGAGCGGUUUGACACCAACCAGUUCGACAAGGGGUGCACGG
rnacentral:SRP_RNA from 1 species